rnacentral:lncRNA from 1 species
GGUGACUUCUGCCCGACCCCACCCGCAGAGCCACACGUGGGGCCCAGUCCCAGGCUCGCGUCCCUCUAACCCACGCUCCCGUCCCUGUGACCCAGGCUCGCGUCCCUCUGUCCAAGGCUCGAGUCCCUCUGCCCCAGGAUCGCGUCCCUCUGUCCCAGGUUCACAUCCCUGUGUCCCAGGCUCAAACCACUCUGUCCCGGGCUCACGUCUCUCUGUCCCAGGCGCAGGCCCCUCUGUCCCAGGCGCAGGCCCCUCUGUCCCGGGCUCGCGUCCCUCUGUCCCAGGAUCAUGUCCCUCUGUCCCAGGCUCACGUCCCUCUCUCCCAGGCUCAAGUGCCUCUGUCCCAGGUGAAGGCCCCUCUGUCCCAGGCUCGAGUCCCUCUGUUCCACACUCCCGUCCUCUUGUCCCAGGCUCGCAUCCCUCUGUCCAUGCUCCCGUCCCUCUGUCCCAGGCUCACGUCCCUCUCCCCAGGCAUGCGUCCCUCUGUCCCAGGCUCGCAUCCCUCUAUCCCAGGCUCGCAUCCCUCUGCCCCAGGAUUGCGUCCCUCUGUCCCAGGCUCAGGCCCCUCUGUCCCAGGCUAGCAUUCCUCUGUCCCAGGCUCACGUCCCUCUGUCCUAGGCUCAAACCCCUCUGUCCCAGGCUCGCGUCCCUCUGUCCCAGGCUCGCGUCCCUCUGUCCCAGGCUCAGGGCCUGCACAUCUAUAGAUCUGCGGGCUGUUUCCUCACAACUGGAUUCCAUCCAGUCCCCCUUCAGGGGCUUUGUGUCUGGAGACCACGUGCUGGGGAAGCGGCCGUCACCCCUGGCCACACCUCGGCCCUUGAUUACUCAGCACUGACAUCUGGCUUCUCACUGGUCAGAAUCCUGCACAUUGGGGCACCGGGAGCCCAGGGCAUGACCCCGGGGUCCCAGGAUCGAGACCUACAUCGGGUCCCCCCAGGGGCCUGCUUCUCCCUCUGCCUGCGUCUCCGUCUCUCUGUGUCUCUCAUGGAUGAAUACAUAAGAAAAUCUUAAAAAAGAAAAAACAAAAAAAGAAUGCUACAUGUCUUCCAAGGCUGAGCAUGUCACAAGGCUGUGACAUCUUUCCUCACGACCUGACUCCUCAUUCCCACCUCUAACUUCUAACUGUCUUGUAUCAUUUCUUUGACAAUUUCUUCUCUUCCCGGUCUCUUUUCCUGGAACUCCUAUUAGCUGAUACUGGAUCCAUGGAUUAGUCUAC